rnacentral:lncRNA from 1 species
UUUUUUUAUUAAAGUGUAGUUGAUUUACAACAAAAAGGCCUUUUUUUUUGCUUCUUAGGGCCACACCCAUGGCACACAGAAGUUCCCAGGCUAGGGGUCUAAUCUGAGCUACAGCUGCCAGCCUAUGCCAGAGCCACAGCAAUGCGAGACCCAAGCCCUAUCUACAACCUACCCCACAGCUCAUGACACCAAAUCUUCAACCCACUGAGUGAGGCCAGGGGUCGAACCCGAAACCUCAUGAUUCCUAGUUGGAUUCAUUUCCGCUGUGCCACGACAGGAACCCCCAAAAGGCCUUUUAAACUCUACCCAGUUUACACAUACCAGGCAGUGUUAUUUUUGACAAAAUGUAAUCACAUUCACUUAUUUUUAAUUGUCUUUCUACCACUUAGAGCAGUUUUUUCCAAAUGAUGGUCCUCAGAGCAACAGCGUCAGCAGGUUACCUGGGUGACCAGUUAGUGGUGAGUCCUGUGUGCCACAACUAGAACCUCUGAGCUGCAGCUGAGAAAUGGUUUUCACAGCUCUCCCCGAAGUCCUUCCCCUCACUAAACUCUGGGAGCCACCAAGUUAGAGCCUACUUACUGGCUUGUAUUCAGGUUUAUAGAUACAGAUUUUAAGUAACUCAUUAGCACCUCCAUUUAAUGUACUAAGUACUGAAUCCCAGGUGACUCAAUUCUUUCUCCAACCCCAUCUCCUCAUCCUUUCCUCUCCCGCCUUUACAAAGUGCGUGUGUCACAUGUGUUGGGAGAAGAUGAUAAGGAUGAGAAGUAGAGGAAAUUUUUACAAAUACCUCCAAUCCAAAUCCUUUUUUUUUUUUUUUUUUUUUUUUUUUUUUUUUUAAGGGCUCUCUCCACUGCUUCAGAAUUGCCAUUUUAAGAAUUAAGGUCCAAAUUCCCAUUCCUUGAGGGAGCUUCACUCACAGAGGGUUAACAAAUAGACUAUAUUUUCACUCCUGCACAAUUUGAAAAAAAACGUAGAUUUAAAUAUUUCUUUUAAAACAAACAAAAUGUUUCUACAUCCCCAAAAUUUGUAAUAGGCUGGAAAGCACUGAGGACUAAAAACCUACUCACAGAAGCAAUCAUUUUUUCAUGCAAUUCAGCAAGUACUCAUCCACAGAAUGUGCUCUUCCAGGCUCCAAGAUACAGCGACAUUAAAGGCCUCUCUACCUCCGUGAAGUUUACAGUCUACUGAGGACGGCAGCUAACGGCUUAUAAGUAAUCUGCUUAUAGAGAUGUCCUAUAAAGAAAUCUAUAGAAGAGAUGGCAUGAAAAAAAAAUCAGAACGGGGAACCCAGUAGCUAAUUCAACAAAAACUUAAAAUUUACCUCAGAUUUAGAUAGUAUUAUCUGAACUGCAAAACUCAAAAGAGAUUGUAAGUAUAAACUUGACUUAAUUGAGCUCCUACACAUGAAACUUGCAAAUUUGCUUACCACAAUUUUUUACAAUAUUGCUAACAAAAAAAUACAGACUAGAGUGCUUCUUAAACUCAUUCAAAUGAAGACUUAAAGAGGGCAACAAACCAGUAACAAAUACUUGGCUGAUAAUUCACUCUUAAUACCUGAUGAACUGGAAUCCUCAAGUUUUCUUCAUUAUGCCUCUUUUAUAUCCUAUAUUUCCUGGAGCAGCCAGGCUUUCAGAGUUAACCUGGAGAAGUCCUGGGCAAAGCGGCCAGCUGUUAUCCUAUCUUCAGACUACAUUUUAGAAAUUAAUAAUGUUGAAACAGCCACCUUUUUCAAAUCAGGACCCUGCUGCAACUCUGCAGAUGUUUAAUAAAAACUAAAACCAGGAACCUCCCCUACCAAUGGUCAACCAUCUCCACAAAGAAAAACAAGUUGAUAUAUACACAUAUUAACUGGGGGAAGUAGUUUUCCCCUAUAAAUUUCAUCAGUUAUUUCACUUUCACACAAAAAACCGUGAGUCAACCACAAUUCUGUAAGCAAAAAUUUGGACCACCAUUUAUUGUGAGAAAUAGUGUUUCAAAAUUAAUGUCUUUAUUUUUAUUUAUUUAUUUAUUUAUUUUUUUGCUAUUUCUUGGGCCGCUCCCGCGGCAUAUGGAGCGACCCAAAGAAAUGUCAAAAAGACAAAAAAAAAAAAAAAAAAAAAAAGCACAUCCUUUUCCCAAUCCAAGAGUUACAGGACAUGUCAUAGGACAUCCUUCCAAAAGUUAUGUAGUGAGUUCGAUCCUUGGCUUCACUCAAUGGGUUAAGGAUCCGGCGGUGCCAUGAGCUGCAGCGUAGAUCACAGUUGUAGCUCGGAUCCUGUGUUGCUGUUGCUGUGGCGUAGGCUCCAAUUUGCCCCUAGUCUAGGAUCCUCCACAUGCCGUGGGUAAGGCCCUAAAAAGACAAAAAAAAAAAAAGUUAUGUAGUGAAAAAGCUACUUUGGGAUCUACCCAUAUGUAUUACUUCCUCUUACUGUUACUUUCAUCAACAAUGUUAAAGGAAACUCCAUCUUCAACCUGAGCACACACAAAUUUUUGUCAGAAUAAAAAAGUUACAUACAAUACUCUUAAAUUGUUUUCUACCCACUGUCCAAGCCUCACUGAACUGUGCUCUUCAGAACAUAAGCAAGUGCCUAUUUUUCUGGUUGCACAAAACUUUCGGCAACACAAGACUCUAUAGAAUACUUAUGUAUAACGUGAUGAAUCUACUCAGAUCAUUCGCUCACACUGUGAUUUUCUUUGAGGUAAAAUGUGUGAAACUAUUUUUGGAACCCUAAUUUGCCAAAUUUAUUUUCAAACUGCAAACUGCAGAAUAAAUCAGUAUGGAAACACUAAACAGAUGACUUUUUUUUUUUAUUACUUACCUCAUAGGCUACUAUCCCUCAGCAAGAACUGAGUUUUCUCCCCAACCUUUACAUAUUUGUCAGUUUCUACUUCAAUCAGUUGUAGAAAGCAGAUAAAAUUUGUAUAGCAUUACUUAUAAUGCUAGUACUUGAUAAGGGUGACUAAAAAUCAAAAUAAUUGGCAUACUUAGCAAAAACCAAGUACACACAAUUAGGCCUUGAAAGAACAAGAAGCAAAGCAGUCCAGUUCUAAAUUCAAGAGCAAGAGCUCUAGAAGACCUAGAUGCUCCUGACAGCUUUCUUCUCUAAUAAAGGUUCAGUUUCAAGAAUAAUCCUGGCUUUAUUUCUACACAACUAUAUAUAGAGUAUGGUACUGGGAAACUUAUUCAUAAGAAUAAGCAUAAUUACUUUGACUCAAGGCCAAAUACUCAAGACACAGAGGCAUGUUUCUGCCCAAUGGCUUCAUCUAAAACUUUAGCAUUAGUUUGCCCAAUUUUUCCUUUAGUUUCUCUUAAAUCAGUUCACUCUCCAUGUAAGUACUCAUCAGACCAUAAACUUAAAAGUUCAGAGUCAGAGUCUAAAAGAAUUAGAUCUCGAACUAUGUCCCUCCAAUCAAAAUCAUUUCAGUUUCCUAAUGAAACAGAUCUCAACUGCAGAGUCAAUCCAAGGAACCUGGCCUGCCAGUCUGAUGGCCAACUUUGUUUUAGUCAUACCGCACCAGAAAUACUUAUACCGGGGUCGACAUUUGGUUUUGCAAGGCAGGCAUUUAACACUCAACAAGUCAUUUAUCUAGCUGAUCAAAAAAGAAAGUUCAAGGCAGGUAUGUACUAAAUCUAUUGGCUCUUAGACCACUAAAGUUACACGGCUGCUUAUUUUGUUUUCAGACAAGAAGAAAUUAGUCAUCACUAGCCACAGGUACAAGCAGAUUACCAAAUCACACUCAGAUUUUUAGCAGUGACACUUCUGCAUGUUAAACUGUCUUAAGAUAGUAAGUUUCCCUUAAGUAUUUUGUCAACUAUGUGCCAGGGCACUGUGCUAUGUAAACCAAAAUGGGUUCCACAUCAAAUCAAGGCCCUUAUAACCAAGACACCAUGCUUUAAAAGCAGAGGAGCUGGGGAACUGCUGC